AAAUAUACAUGUGUCUAGUGUAUGCUCACUGUACAUUAUUCUACAAGAAAUGAAAUAAAGCAAAGCCUACAGAUUUCAUAUGAGUGUUUUGCUCUUUCUCAUUUCCAUCCUUGGUUUUUUUCCUUCCAUCCUU
rnacentral:ribozyme from 12 species